rnacentral:tRNA from 1 species
AAGGGUAUAGCUCAAUUAGGCAGAGCAUUGGUCUCCAAAACCGAAGGUUGUAGGUUCGAUCCCUACUGCCCUUG